UACAGAGGGUGCGAGCGUUGUCCGGAAUUAUUGGGCGUAAAGGGUGCGUAGGCGGCUUGGCAAGUGGAUGGUGAAAUCCCUCGGCUUAACCGAGGAACUGCCGUCCAAACUGCUUCGCUUGAGACCGGGAGAGGUGAGUGGAAUUCCCAGUGUAGCGGUGAAAUGCGUAGAUAUUGGGAGGAACACCAGUGGCGAAGGCGGCUCACUGGACCGGUACUGACGCUGAUGCACGAAAGCGUGGGGAGCAAACGGG
rnacentral:rRNA from 1 species